UACGUAGGGUGCAAGCGUUGUCCGGAAUUAUUGGGCGUAAAGAGCUCGUAGGCGGUCUGUCGCGUCGGAUGUGAAACCUCGGGGCUCAACCCCGAGCCUGCAUUCGAUACGGGCAGACUAGAGUUCGGUAGGGGAGACUGGAAUUCCUGGUGUAGCGGUGAAAUGCGCAGAUAUCAGGAGGAACACCGUUGGCGAAGGCGGGUCUCUGGGCCGAUACUGACGCUGAGGAGCGAAAGCGUGGGGAGCGAACAGG
rnacentral:rRNA from 1 species